rnacentral:rRNA from 1 species
UACGGGGGGGCAAGCGGUUGUUCGGAAUUACUGGGCGUAAAGGGCUCGUAGGUGGCCAACUCAGUCAGACGUGAAAUCCCUCGGCUUAACCGGGGAACUGCGUCUGAUACUGGAUGGCUUGAGGUUGGGAGAGGGAUGCGGAAUUCCAGGUGUAGCGGUGAAAUGCGUAGAUAUCUGGAGGAACACCGGUGGCGAAGGCGGCAUCCUGGACCAAUUCUGACACUGAGGAGCGAAAGCCAGGGGAGCAAACGGG